GACGAACGCUGGCGGCGUGCUUAACACAUGCAAGUCGAACGGAAAGGCCCUGCUUUUGUGGGGUGCUCGAGUGGCGAACGGGUGAGUAACACGUGAGUAACCUGCCCUUGCCUUUGGGAUAACUUCAGGAAACUGGGGCUAAUACCGGAUAGGAGCUCCUGCUGCAUGGUGGGGGUUGGAAAGUUUCGGCGGUUGGGGCUGGACUCGCGGCUUAUCAGCUGGUUGGUGGGGUAGUGGCUUACCAAGGUUUGGACGGGUAGCCGGCCUGAGAGGGUGACCGGCCACAAUGGGACUGAGAUACGGCCCAGACUGCUACGUGAGGCAGCAGUGGGGAAUAUUGCGCAAUGGGCGGAAGCCUGAUGCAGCGACGCCGCGUGCGGGAUGACGGCUUUCGGGUUGUAAACCGCUUUCGCCUGUGACGAAGCGGGAGUGACGGUAACGGGUAAAAAAGCACCGGCUAACUACGUG
rnacentral:rRNA from 1 species